CAUGGGAAGUUUCCAGAUAUAACUUUCAUUGUGGUUUCAUAUUUUCCACUACGUUCCUGCGGGACAGCAGCUCCUUCAGAUAAGGUCUGCUCAGUAAUGAUCUUGAAAGCUGUUUCUAUUUGGAAAGGAGAACAUCUACGAACACCAUAGGAAAAAUACCAUAAAAAGGUCAGGAUGCAAACCUGGGAGCACUUCAGUUUGGGUUAUGACAGCAGGAAUUUUAGGAUGCAGAGUAUGAGGGGAGCUUGUGCACUGGUGCCCUCCUGCCACCAGGCUGGGACAGGGUGUACUCCCAGAGUGUGGCCUCGGGCUUUAGUUUCACUACAACCCUUUAAGCCAAGUAGUUUCAAAGGUCUGCAUUGGCUGGUGUCCUGACGGGGUUUGGAAACCCUGAGUAAAGAAACUCACUUUUUCUUGCUUUAAUCUUCACUCAUCUGUUUCCCACACAGAGUGGGGUUUGUUUGGGGUUUUUUUAAUGCUAAAUGAUAAAGCAUAUGGGCUAAGUAAGUUUAUAGGGUGAGUUCCAGUUUAACAGGAGUAGAGUGGAUCACACUGUGCCCAGCCAAGCCCUGGAGUGAUGGGGAUCAAAUGUUCCUGUUGUCUUAGUCACACCAUGAAGGAGUAAUUUCUAAUGCUCAGAAGGUUUCCUUGCAAGCCUGCAGUGCCAGAGCCGUAGGAGAAACAGGCAAAGGGAGAAGUGUUAUGUUUUCUCCAGAUUAGCCUGGCCAGUUUACUACAGUGGUUUAGGAAGAAGCAGGGAGCAACUGUUGCCACUGCGAUACAAGACGGGUUGGUCAACCAUGCAGGCAAAGCAAGUGGCUGCCACCUCCCUGUGGCACAACCACGAGCUUAUGAGGCAAGGAAAGUCUUUGACAGGGCAGUGAGAACAGCCAAAGCCAGAUGGGACUGCAAGCUGCUGGGAAAACAUUAAGGAAGGAUGUGGGGAAAGCUGCAGUACUUGGGAGGCUCCUGGAGGCUGACAUUUCAUAUCACCACGUUGCCAUGCCUGUCUCUGACAAGGAGAAAAUUUUAGUCGCUCGCCUCAUUGGGUUGCAAACCUUUAUGAACACCGCAACUAAUAGCCCCGGCUUGUGUGAUGUGGAGAAUUGCUUCAGCACAGAGACUGCAAACCUGUUCAAUUAAAGGAAAUGCUCAGAUCCAGCUGUUGGAGUCCCAUGACUGCCAAUACUCCUCACAGAGCAGCAGCUGAGCCCACAGGCUCUGUGCAAGAAAUUUGCUGAAGAAAUCCCCUCUGCACGUGGCCAGCAGCCUGAAUCAGCCUUUUCUGGUGGAUGGUGAAACAGUGGAAGACCUUUGAAGGAAAUUGCUACCAUGGGGUUUGUCUGGCUGUGAGGUAAGUUAAAAUGCAAAACCAGAGAACAACUGUGGUCCAGCUGAUGAGACGGUAUAAAUCAAGAGUAGGGACACUAAGGUUUUUUGCAGAUGUGCUUCCCUGAGGAGGAAGAGCAGAUGCCUUUGCUCCAGGAGCUACAGUUGUGUCCCACCCCAGCUGGACAAGCCCCUGCACCUUCAGCAUCUCUCCUGCUGCUGUGGAGAUGCUUGCAUGAGAGCAGUCUGCCAUGCACCUUCACCUGUGGGCUGUCUCUGAUGUGUGCCUCUUGCAGCCACAGACACCUGUGUUAGGGAGUGUUAGGCCACUCUUGACAAGGCUUCAGCUCACACAGAGCCAGGGCUGUGCUGUGAGGGGGAGUGGGACACAGAAAACCCUUAUAGCCUUGAAAACCCAGCAGGACUGCAGGCAGAAUCCUGUUGCACAGCAGCCAGACUGGCUGGCACCCCAACAGGGCACUUCAUCCCCAGACAGCUGCAGCUGGCCAUGACAACAGCCAUGCUGGGCAGUGUUGGGGCAGGCUGCAGGGCAGCUAUGGGGGGAAUGCAGUGGCACCCAGGGGUACUGCUUCUUGCACAGCACAAACCACUCAUGCUGUACAUGUGAGACACAAACCCCUGGCAUGCCCCAAGUGCACACCACACUGGAGACACAAAACACACAUCCCUACACUCCUAAAACACACAACACCCUCUGCUGCACAGCACUUACACACUGCAUACAUGGAAAGCAAAGGAGGUGUGUGCUGCAGAUGCGGGGUGCAAGCCACAUCAGCCACACUUGGUGGAGGCAGGAUCUGUGUGCUACUCCUGCUUUCCCAGUUCAGGGCUCCCAGCCACUGCCUUUCUUACACUGGUGGGAUUGACAGUAAGCAAAAGCAGAGCGUAGCACAUCCCCCCUGGGUAGUGGAGCAGAGAAAACAGCAUUCACCAUCUCCAUUCUUUCCUCUGCCCUUCACUUUUAAAUAAACACCAAAUAACAUCCAUAAUAUUUGUCUUAAGCCAUCUCAGCCUUCCCAAAGCACUUAUCCUGUUGACCCUCAGUAAUAUCAGGAUGCAUUCAAGUGUUGCUUGAGGCAAUGCUGUGCCUGGUGGUACACACUAAGCCAUGCACAGUGCUAAAGACACAGCUGGAUAGCCCAGGAGCAGAAGGCUGUUAUUGGCUGGAGAAUGACACUCAUUUCCCCCAAAUAUUUAAUAACCGUGGUUAAUUUUAAUGUCCUACCUGAGUCACUUGUUUGAAGCCAAGUAAUGAAAACCACCACCACUGACAGAAAAGCUUUUAUACCUUAGCAUUAUGAUACAGCACCCAUCCCUCUGCAGUGUGGGCUUCAAGCUGGUUGAUUUAAGUCACAGCUGUCUGGUCAAAGCUCCAUUUUAUUGCCAAGUGUAUGCACUUUUUCCCAAGUAAAACAUUCCAUCUCAUUAAGGUGGUUAACAACACACCCUCUCUCCCCUCCCAGGAGAAGCACAUGCACACUCCAGCACCCUCAGCAAGCAUUACCUCCAC